rnacentral:lncRNA from 1 species
GAAAAAUCGCACAGGUGUGCUCAGUGUGUCGAAGGCGUUACUUCAACUCGGCCAACUCGAGUGAAUUCAAAAAUGAAUAGCCACUAUAAGCCUCGCAAAAUUCCCCGUAGUUUCUUCAUUGCAGUUCAUCCUAUUGCGAUGACACUAACUCUAACAUUAGACUACCUUGUCACUAUGGGAUGGCUAUGGCCCAAUGGAGUGUCAACCAAGAUGUUUGGCCAAAUAUCAGAUCUAAUCUUCUACUUGGGAACAAAUUACAAUGAGUAUAUGAUGAUUGCGACCAUCAUACUGCUAGCAAGUCACGUGUUCAGCAGCAUAAUGUCUCUUGUGCUGUGCUACAAACUCAACCUCAGAAAAGGUGUCAUUUUCCUGUGGUUCUUCCAGUGCUUCUUGUUUGGCUUCUCAUCUCUGCAGUACCUCAUCUGGCCACAGUCUUCCAUCAUCAACGUCUACAAUGAUUAACUCCAGGCAGAAAUAUAAUUUGAAGUCUGCAAUUUACCUGUGCAAUGAUUAGCAUCUUUCCUUUGUCAAGUUGAUUUUUGAAAAUUUUUGAAGUGAUAUACAAAUUAAUUUUAGUUCUUUGAGUGCUAUCAGUAUCAUAGAAAGAUCUUCAUUUUAGCUUGAAAUUUCUUGUUCUAAAAUGCAACAUUUUUUUUCAAGGCAGUUUUUCCUCUUCUUACAUGAAUGAUUAUUUUGCAAGUUUUACAUUAGCUGUUACACCAACAACUUCAAUAGAAAAUAACCAGCCAAUAGUAGGAGUGGUAGAUCACUAAGUGCCUAAAAUUAGCAAAGAUACAAAGUUCUUGUCUUGCUAAACUGUUGUGUGUGCCAUACCUGUAUUGCCUUGUAAUCUUUCCUAUCUUCAGAGAGUGUCUUUCAUUUCAUGCCUGUUUGAUGUUUUCUCAAGUGCUUUGCAGUUGAAAAUUUUUUUUUAUAAUUUUCUGAAAAUUUAUUCGAUAAUUAAUUUGUGUGUUCAAAGUUUUUUUUAUUGGUGUUUUUGGUACCUAAAAUUUUAUGGUAGUAUUUAGACAUUGCUCAUAUUUUGAAGUGUUGUUCUUCUGAUAUUUUUGGCAAUGUUUGGAUUGGUAAUUACUCCUGAUUUAUGUCGUUUUAGGGUCCAGGAUUUUAGAUUCUUUGUGUUCCUGUUGUUCCGGCUUGUUUUUUGGAAAAAGGAACUUUAACAAAAUCAAUCCUGGGUUUGGUUUGAGUUUUUAUAAGAGUGUUGUUUUGGAUUUAUCCAGUUUGAAAUGAAUUUGAGUUAUUAAGUGGAUAGUAUGAUAGUAUUUGUUGCUUUUUCAUUAUUUUAAGUGUUUGGAACUGCAAUAACUUGUUCAGUUUAAUCUUCUACAUUGUUAUGAAAUACAUUGCACAUCCUGAAUAAUACCGUGAUGACGUUAAAUUUUAAGUGGAUACUAAUUAUCUUUGAUUUACAAGAGAAGUGAUACGUUGUGAUAAAUUUUUCUUAUAAUGCUUAAGGUUUUUCUACUAGGAGUGUAUCAGGACCAUAGAUUCAUGAGACCAAGAUUCCUUUGCAUUUUUUUUGAAGAUUAAAAGCUGUUGGCAUACUAAAUAAUCUUAUUUGCGGUGUAGACAAUAACUUUCACAUUUUUAAUAAGGUUUUAUGCUCAUUAGCAAUAGCAUUAAAUCGUUUACAUCUGACAUUAUUGCUUUGUAUAGGUAACGUUCUUGUUAUGGACACAGUAACAUGUUAUGGUAAAAUGUCUCCCGUCACAGCAUUGCGUGCUAAGUAUUAAACAAUUUGUGACUAAUAACAAACAAGUUAGAUCUCCUGCUAAACCAGACGGAAGUCAGGUGCGAUGUCUGUGUAAGCUUCAACCUUGGUGAUGGAAACAAGGCAUAUUCAAGUUUAUUUCUGCAAUUUCUACUGACAGUUCAAUUAUUUUAUUACAAAUAACUUUGAACCUUCAUGGCGGAUAUUAUAUGAUAAGGUGAACAAAACAUUCCAUGUCUAGUCAUUGAUCUGUUUUUUUUUCUGGUCAGCAGUUGAGAGGCCUUGAGCUUGCAUUACUAGUCGUGUUGGUCACUGGUAAACAAAUGAUAACAAAUGAUAUAUGAUAAGGUAAACAAAACAUUCCAUGUCUAGUCAUUGAUCUGUUAUUUUUUCUGGUCAGCAGUUGAGAGGCCUUGAGCUUGCAUUACUGGUCGUGAUGGUCACUGGCCACCUUGCCAUUUGAAUCCUCAACAAUAAUAAUCUCAAUUCCUAGUCAUGAUUAGCCGUAAUGUUUGGUAGUGUUAAUAAUAUUAAGUGGUUUUUGUACUUUUCAGAUAUGCCUUAAGACUGUUCUAGCACCGAAUUUGCCUGACGGCUCUAGCUUUAUUGUAACUUUUGCACGAGUUUGUUUAUAUUUUAGCUAUAGAUAUUGAAUGUUUUGCAUAAAGUUUAAACUAUAUAUUCAUAUAUAGGGGUUGGACAAAAUAAGGGAAACGCCUAACAUUUUGAGGUCAUAAUUUUUGAAAAUGUUAUUAACAAUGAAAACAUGACAUAUUUUAACGUUUUGUUGUUCAUUAUUGUUGCUAAGGUUGAUAUUGUAAUGUUGCUUAUUUAUUAUUGAUCUAAAAUGAUACUAAAGAUUCGAUUUGUGUCUGACAGGAAAAUUGUUCAUUAGCGGAUGCAUGAUCGAAUGUAUCUAAGCACUUUCUCCAAGUGUCCAAGUAGGAAAUUAUUCAUACUAUAAAUUUUGAACUGAAUUGAUGGCAAUAGCCAAUGAGGCUAUUUUCCAUUGAUGGCAAAUAGCGCCAUUCCUGCUAAAUAAAAGGACGUUUUAUAGUAGCAGGAGUGCAGGACCAAAGCACGCAUUUGAAGUUACCAAUGUUAAGGCAAACUUUGGUCAAAGGAUAUUUUCUAGGAUUGUUACCUACGAUUUAACAGUUAUUUUAUUCGAGCAAUAAGCCAUGCCGUCUUCCAUUAGGGUUUACUUCUAGAAAACAAUUUUCUCCUUUUGCAUCUAUUGAGCUCACUUCCAAAGAUUCAUAUUUGUAAGGUUAUUGAAGAACAAUUUAUACUAGGAAUCCAACUUCGCCUUCUUGGAGUACUUCCAUAAUAUCAGAGUUGUUGUUGAACUAAGUGGUGAUUAAAAGGAAUUCGCCCAAAUGUU